AGUGAACGCUGGCGGCGUGCCUAAUACAUGCAAGUCGAACGAAGUGGCGAACGGGUGAGUAACGCGUAAUCAACCUGCCCUUCAGAGGGGGACAACAGUUGGAAACGACUGCUAAUACCGCAUACUGAAGGAGUGGAUUGGGUCGGAUUAGCUAGUUGGAGGGGGAACGGCCCACCAGGGCGAUGAUGAGUAGCCGGUCUAAGAGGAUGAACGGCAACAUUGGGACUGAGACACGGCCCAGACUCCUAAGUGAGGCAGCAGUGGGGAAUCUUCCGCAAUGGACGAAAGUCUGACGGAGCAACGCCGCGUGAGUGAUGAGGGCCUUCGGGUUGUAAAGCUCUGUUAAUCGGGACGGGGUCCCGGAAUAGAAAGCCACGGCUAACUACGUGCCAGCAGCCGCGUAAUAC
rnacentral:rRNA from 1 species